AAUUUAAUUUUAAUUUUUAAUUUAAAUUAUUUUAUUAAAAUUACUUUUAUUUAUUUUUAGGUUUAAUUUAAUGUUAAUAAAAACUUUUUUUUAUUUAUAAGGAAUUAAGUAUUGAUAAAAAAAUUAAAUUUAAAUUUUUAAAAGAAAAUUUUAUUUAUUGUAUCUUGUGUUUCAGAGUUAAUUUAAUUUAAAAAUUAUUUUUCUUUCUUGAAAAUUAAAUAUUUAAUUAAGUAUUUAAAUUAAUGUUAAAUAAUUAAAUUUAUUUAUAAUACUUAAUUGGAAAUAAUAAGUUAUUCGUUUUAUUUUAUAUCUAGUUUUUUUGGAAAUAAAUUGAAUUUAUUUUUUUUUAAAAAUAUAUAAAUAUUUAUUUAUUUAAAUGAUUUGAAAAAUUAAUUAAUUUUAGGGAUAAGCUUAAAAUAAUUAAAAAUUUAAAUUAAAUGUAUAUUAUUUUAAAAUAGUUUUAUAUAAUUCGAAUUUUUAAUUAUUUAAAAUUAUUAAAUUAAUAUCUAAUAAUUAUAUAUAAUUUACUUUAAAUUUAAUUAAUUGAUUUAUGAAAAUGUUAAUUAAACUUAAUUAUUUAAUUAAUAAUGAUUAAAUUAUUAUAUUUAAUUAUAAAUUUAUAUUAAUUUUUAUUAAAAUAAAUUUAAUAAUUAGGCAAAAAAAAAUUCAACUGUUUAUCAAAAACAUUUCUUUAUGAUUUAUUUUUAAAGUAUAAUCUGCCCACUGAAUAAUUUAAAGGGCUGCAGUAUUUUAACUGUACUAAGGUAGCAUAAUCAUUUGUUUUUUAAUUGGAAACUGGAAUGAAUGAUUGAAUGAAAUUUUUACUUUUUUAUUUUAUAAAUUAUAAUUUUAUAUUUUAGUAAAAGAGCUAAAAUUUAAUAAAAAGACGAGAAGACCCUAUAGAUUUUAAUAUUUUAAUAGAUUAAUUAAAUUUAAAUUAAUUUUUUAGUUUAUUUUAUUGGGGUGAUAAAAAAAUUUAUAAAACUUUUUUUUAAUUUAAUCAAUUUAUUAUUGAAUUUAUAUAAAUGUAAUAUGACUAAAUUUAAAUUUUAAUAAAUUAAAUUACCUUAGGGAUAACAGCAUAAUUUUAAUUUAAAGAUGUUAUUUAAAUUAAAGUUUAUGACCUCGAUGUUGGAUUAAAAUAAAAAUUUUGUGAAGUUACAUAAUUUUUUAAUCUGUUCGAUUAUUAAAAUUUUACAUGAUCUGAGUUCAGACCGGUGUAAACCAGGUUGGUUUCUAUCUUUUUUUAAUUAAAUUGAAUUUUUAGUACGAAAGGAAUUAAAUUUUUAUUUUAAAUUGAUUUUUUUUUGAUUAUUAUUAAUUAGAUUUUGUAAUAUUAAUUUUUAAAUUAAAUAU
rnacentral:rRNA from 1 species